AGCAGGCCAUAGACUGGAUUCGGCUCAUGUGGUAUUUCCAGGGGAUACUGUGGUGACAAAUCCAAGCUUGACCUCACCCUCAAAAAGUGGAGGAGUGUCUACCGAGUCAUCUGGAAGAGCAAGUCAUGCCUGCGAAGGAAUGGGACACAAUGGAUUCAGUUCUCAAGAGCCGAGCUUGAGGACCACAGACACUGAAAUUCGCAGCCACCUCUGUCUGUUACAGGACAGGCAAGUGCAGAUGACAGGAAGACGGUGGACUAUGAAGUUAGAUACGUGUGGCUUUCAACCUUGGUCUCCCGCCCCAUCCGCUCUGGGAAUUUAAAAAUUAAGAAAAAUCAAAGAAGGCACUGUAAUAAAGCAAUGAAACAGUCCUGACUGACUCAGGAUUACAAAAAGAAAAGAAAACCCACCAUCAAGAAUUAAGCACCAUAGUUUUCAAGAAUCCUGAAACAGAAACCUUCCAUUAAAGUAUUAAUUCUACUCACUCCCAAAGUCCAUCUUCUGCUACGCCGACCUGCCCUGGGGCUUC